ACAGCAGUAGCCACGGUAAUACGGAGGAUCCAAGCGUUAUCCGGAAUCAUUGGGUUUAAAGGGUCCGUAGGCGGUCUUGUAAGUCAGUGGUGAAAGCCCAUCGCUCAACGGUGGAACGGCCAUUGAUACUGCAGGACUUGAAUUAUUGGGAAGUAACUAGAAUAUGUAGUGUAGCGGUGAAAUGCUUAGAGAUUACAUGGAAUACCAAUUGCGAAGGCAGGUUACUACCAAUUGAUUGACGCUGAUGGACGAAAGCGUGGGUAGCGAACAGGAUUAGAUACCCCAGUAGUCCCUGUCUCUUAUAC
rnacentral:rRNA from 1 species